GGGGACAUAGCUCAGUUUGGGAGAGCGCCUCGUUUGCACCGAGGAGGUCAGGGGUUCGAGUCCCCUUGUCUCCA
rnacentral:tRNA from 1 species